rnacentral:rRNA from 1 species
UACGUAGGGUGCAAGCGUUGUCCGGAAUUAUUGGGCGUAAAGAGCUCGUAGGCGGUUUGUCGCGUCUGCUGUGAAAACCCGAGGCUCAACCUCGGGCCUGCAGUGGGUACGGGCAGACUAGAGUGCGGUAGGGGAGAUUGGAAUUCCUGGUGUAGCGGUGGAAUGCGCAGAUAUCAGGAGGAACACCAAUGGCGAAGGCGGCUCUCUGGAACGGUACUGACGCUGAGACGCGAAAGCGUGGGGAGCGAACAGG